AAGACUAUACUUUCAGGGAUCAUUGCUAUAGUAUGUGACUAGAGAAGUUUCUCUGAUCGUGUAGAGCACCCGAAGCCACGAAGAGGAGCCAUAGCAUCCUCCCCUGAGCAUGAAGCCUACUCUAGGUAUCUCUUCUUCGACUGCCUUUGGCCACUGAUGAUCGUUCUUUUCUUCCCUGCCUUUGGAAGGGGUAGAGGAAGAGGAAGCAGUCUGGGUGGU